UUUGGCCACCAGGGGGCAGUGCCAGUUCCGUGAAGGUAUUAAAAGGUCUUCAUUAGCUUGCUGUCAGUCAGACUGCAGGUAGGGAAGACAACAGGUGUGCUGAUGUCAUCUCUUUCUUCCUCACAGUUUUGCUAAACCGUGGUCUACUGCUGCAGCCACGCCGGUGCUUCCCUGUCUUUGUACCAAAUAAACCAACCUUCCACCUGCAUCCUGGGAUCACGCCAACUGUCAACCCUGCUCUUCCCGUGUCUCCAUAAAAAGACAAGUCUCAAGGAGGGUGGACUUCUCCUUGCCUGUUGAUAAUAAAACAAGCAUCGCUCCACCCCGACCCACUCCCACAAGCGACAGGUUCUGGUAAGGAGA